GCCUUCGUGGCUCAGCUGGUUAGAGCGCCGGUCUCAUAUUCGCCUCCGAGUAACAAUGUGAUCAUCCACCAGGAUGAGCCAUCCGGAGAUCGCCAGUUCGAUCCUGGCCGAGGGCA
rfam:Puccinia graminis f. sp. tritici CRL 75-36-700-3 supercont2.75 genomic scaffold, whole genome shotgun sequence.